UAGUGAUCCUGCGCCGAAAAUGUAACGGGGCUCAAGCCUAGCACCGAAGCUGCGGGUUUCUGUCUAUCUACGGAUAGCCGGGAGCAGUAGGGGAGCGUUCUGCCAGCGGUGAAGCCAGAUCGUGAGGACUGGUGGAGCGGGCAGAAGUGAGAAUGCCGGCAUGAGUAGCGUAAAACAUGUGAGAANNAAUCCGCGUCGGGUUAGUCGGGCCUAAGCCGAGGCCGAGAGGCGUAGGCGAUGGACAUCCGGUUAAUAUUCCGGAACCGCGUUGGAUUGUUUGAGCGAUGGGGUGACGCAGAAGGGUAGGCCAGCCUGUCUAAAUGGACAUGGCAGGUGCCAAGCCUGUAGGGAAAUGAUGGCGAUAGGUAAAUCCGUCGCCUGAUCCUGAGGGGUGAUGGCGGUGCCCAAAGGGCCACAAGUGGCUGAGCCCAUGCUGCCAAGAAAAGCCUCUAGUGAGAUCCGCGCGCCCGUACCGCAAACCGACACUGGUAGACGGGUAGAGAAUACCAAGGGGAUCGGGAGAACCCUCGUUAAGGAACUAGGCAAAAUAGCUCCGUAACUUCGGGAGAAGGAGCGCCCCGGUAGGGUGAUACUGACGUUGAGCCCGAGGGGGUCGCAGAGAAAUGGCCCUGCCGACUGUUUAACAAAACCACAGGUCUCUGCUAAAGCGUAAGCUGAUGUANNNNNNNNNNNNNNNNNNNNNNNNNNNNNNNNNNNNNNNNNNNNNNNNNNNNNNNNNNNNNNNNNNCCUAAGGUAGCGAAAUUCCUUGUCGGGUAAGUUCCGACCCGCACGAAUGGCGUAACGAGUGGGGCACUGUCUCAACGAGGGACCCGGCGAAAUUGAAGUACGUGUAAAGAUGCGCGUUACCCGCAGCAGGACAAAAAGACCCCGUGGAGCUUUACUGUAGCUUGGCAUUGAGUUAGGGCUUAGCUUGUGUAGGAUAGCUGGGAGACUGUGAAGCUGGGGCGCCAGCCUCGGUGGAGUCGUCCUUGAAAUACCAGCCUGGUUAAGUCUUGGCUCUAACCGGUGACCGUUAUCCGGCACUGGGACAGUGCCAGGUGGGCAGUUUGACUGGGGCGGUCGCCUCCCAAAAGGUAACGGAGGCGCCCAAAGGUUCCCUCAGGCUGAAUGGAAACCAGCCGAAGAGUGUAAAGGCAUAAGGGAGCUUGACUGCGAGACCUACAAGUCGAGCAGAGACGAAAGUCGGGCUUAGUGAUCCCACGGUACCGAGUGGAAGGGCCGUGGCUUACCGGAUAAAAGCUACCCCGGGGAUAACAGGCUAGUCACGCCCAAGAGUUCACAUCGACGGCGCGGCUCGGCACCUCGAUGUCGGCUCGUCGCAUCCUGGGGCUGGAGAAGGUCCCAAGGGUUGGGCUGUUCGCCCAUUAAAGCGGCACGCGAGCUGGGUUCAGACCGUCGUGAGACAGGUCGGUCUCUAUCCGCUGUGGGCGUAGGGGAUUUGAGGGGAGCUGCCCCUAGUACGAGAGGACCGGGGUGGACAGACCUCUGGUGUGCCAGUUGUCGUGCCAACGGCAUCGCUGGGUAGCUACGUCUGGCAGAGAUAACCGCUGAAAGCAUCUAAGUGGGAAGCUCGCCCCAAGAUGAGAUCCCUCAUCCCUGAAGGGAGUAAGGCCGCAGGUAGACUACCUGCUUGAUAGGCGGCAGGUGUAAGCACAGCAAUGUGUUCAGCUAAGCCGUACUAAUGGCCGAGGGCUUAAUUCG
rnacentral:rRNA from 1 species